UAGCGGGUGGCGGAAUUGGCAGACGCACAGGACUUAAAAUCCUGGGUAGUAACUACGUGCCGGUUCGAGUCCGGCCUCGGCAC
rnacentral:tRNA from 1 species